rnacentral:rRNA from 1 species
ACGGAGGGUGCAAGCGUUAAUCGGAAUUACUGGGCGUAAAGCGCACGCAGGCGGUUGAUUAAGUCAGAUGUGAAAUCCCCGGGCUCAACCUGGGAACUGCAUUUGAAACUGGCAAGCUAGAGUCUCGUAGAGGGGGGUAGAAUUCCAGGGGUAGCGGUGAAAUGCGUAGAGAUCUGGAGGAAUACCGGUGGGGAAGGCGGCCCCUGGACGAAGACUGACGCUCAGGUGCGAAAGCGUGGGGAGCAAACAG